rnacentral:rRNA from 1 species
UACAGGGGGUGCAAACGUUGCUCGGAAUCAUUGGGCGUAAAGCGCACGUAGGCGGUUUGUUAUGUCGGAUGUGAAAGCCCUUGGCUCAACUGAGGAAGUGCAUCCGAAACUGGCAAGCUAGAGUACUAAAGAGGGUCGCGGAAUUCCCGGUGUAGAGGUGAAAUGCGUAGAUAUCUGGAGGAAUACCGGUGGCGAAGGCGGCAUCCUGGACCGACAUUGACGCUGAGGAGCGAAAGCUAGGGGAGCAAACGGG